CUUUUGUGGGGUGCUCGAGUGGCGAACGGGUGAGUAACACGUGAGUAACCUGCCCUUGACUUUGGGAUAACUUCAGGAAACUGGGGCUAAUACCGGAUAGGAGCUCCUGCUGCAUGGUGGGGGUUGGAAAGUUUCGGCGGUUGGGGAUGGACUCGCGGCUUAUCAGCUUGUCGGUGGGGUAGUGGCUUACCAAGGCUUUGACGGGUAGCCGGCCUGAGAGGGUGACCGGCCACAUUGGGACUGAGAUACGGCCCAG
rnacentral:rRNA from 1 species